AUUGAACGCUGGCGGCAGGCCUAACACAUGCAAGUCGAACGGUAACAGGAAGCAGCUUGCUGUUUCGCUGACGAGUGGCGGACGGGUGAGUAAUGUCUGGGAAACUGCCUGAUGGAGGGGGAUAACUACUGGAAACGGUAGCUAAUACCGCAUAAUGUCGCAAGACCAAAGAGGGGGACCUUCGGGCCUCUUGCCAUCGGAUGUGCCCAGAUGGGAUUAGCUUGUUGGUGGGGUAACGGCUCACCAAGGCGACGAUCCCUAGCUGGUCUGAGAGGAUGACCAGCCACACUGGAACUGAGACACGGUCCAGACUCCUACGGGAGGCAGCAGUGGGGAAUAUUGCACAAUGGGCGCAAGCCUGAUGCAGCCAUGCCGCGUGUAUGAAGAAGGCCUUCGGGUUGUAAAGUACUUUCAGCGGGGAGGAAGGGAGUAAAGUUAAUACCUUUGCUCAUUGACGUUACCCGCAGAAGAAGCACCGGCUAACUCCGUGCCAGCAGCCGCGGUAAUACGGAGGGUGCAAGCGUUAAUCGGAAUUACUGGGCG
rnacentral:rRNA from 1 species